CCCUCUCACUCUUGGCCCCCACCCUUGCAGACACCUGCUGGCUCCCUGGACACUCUCUGCUCUGCCCCUGGCAGCACUGUCACCACCCAGCUGGGACCUUAUGCCUUCAAGAUCCCACUGUCCAUCCGCCAGAAGAUAUGCAACAGCCUAGAUGCCCCCAACUCACGGGGCAAUGACUGGCGGAUGUUAGCACAGAAGCUCUCUAUGGACCGGUACCUGAAUUACUUUGCCACCAAAGCGAGCCCCACGGGUGUGAUCCUGGACCUCUGGGAAGCUCUGCAGCAGGACGAUGGGGACCUCAACAGCCUGCAGAGUGAUGGCUGAGAAGUCCUCUCUAGCUGCAGAAGCCUGAGCUUCCCGGUGUCAGUCAGCUCUGCAACGUGGGAGCCUUGGAGGCAGGUGGCCUGGCUGUGCUUCAUAUGCCCAGGAGUGGAGAAGGAGGCUGAGAAGCUGGUUUCCCAGCUCUGAUCUCCACAGGCACCUCCUAUAACCCUCAUCUCACCCACCCCGCUACGGUCUGAGAGAUCUGAAAUAACCUUUCCCAGUGGGCAGGGUUGCCAGGGUUGAGGGGACAGCACAUACCACCCCCACCCAACCUGUUCCAGGGGCCCUGCAUGGCACGGGAUGAGUCCCUGCCCUGUGCAGCUGCCUGGCAGUGGCUCAGACAAGGAUCUUGCAGCCAGCACAGAGGCCUCUUCAAAGGCCUCUCCCUCUUGGCACUCCAGGCAAGGCAGGUGCCCGCUUCCCCAACACCUCCAGGCAGUGACCCUAGGGCAUGCCCCAGCAGGUCUCCGAGCAGCCACUGGGACCCGUCUCAGCACAUCCUGGCCUUUGAAAGUCUGAUAUCCUGAGAGGAGGGCAGGUUUUAGGGCCGCAGUUCCAGCCAGCGUCCCCAGCCUGGCUUCCCUGCCAUGGACUCAGUAGCUCGUGGGGCUUCUUACCACCCACCAGCCCCGCUGGGGUGCGGCCUGGCUGUGGGCAAAGGAGGACUUGCCUGGAGAUUUGAGAGAAGAUUCCUUCUACCAGGGCUGCUGAGGGGCCAGGCCUGCAUCAGGGGCUAGGAUCUGGCUGGGCCCGGAGGCUGAGACUAAGGCUCUCGACCCUGGUGCCUCCAUGUGGAUGCUGCCUCAGACAAAGGCAGUGAGCCUUCCCUGCCAAAGUGCCCAUCCCAUGGGCUCGGCCUCACGGGUCACUGUUAGCCCAUGAACACGUGUGGGCCUCGGUCACGUGGCUUUGAGGGCAGUCUGACCAGGCUAGACCACACGUGCCGUGACAGGGGGUGCCAUUCCCCUCGCAGGCUCUAAUGUGCCCACAUGUAGCCUGGCAGUCCAGAGACCAAGAAUCAACUUGCAAAUCUGCCAUUAAACUGCUGUGCGACUUCAGGCAUAUCACUGCCUUCUCUGGGCUUCAGUGUCCUUUUCAUACCUAGAAGUCUGCGGUCUGAGGCUGUUUGGGUUCAGACACACUGUUCUAGGCUUCUGUAGGGGACCUUGUGAUCUGCCGUGCCCCUCCUCCCUGUUCUUUUCUGUCCUCCCCGCCCCACCCUCAGAAGCUGCUUGCUCUGCCCCCAGGACAGGAGCUUGACGGAUGAGGUGCAGCCAGCCACCCAGGUGCCAUUUCCAGUCUGACUUCCAGAAAUGUGCACCAUGUCCUAGAGCACAGACCCAUUGGCUGGAGCCUCCUGGGAGGGUUCAAACCAUCAGCUCUAUGAGAAAUGCCCAGAAAGGCUUUGCCGACUCCAUCCGUCUGUGGAGGCUGCCUGCCUCCGGGGUGGGAUGGGUGGUUUCUCCUCCAAUUCAGACCCAAGAGGUAGCCCCCGAGGGCAUGUACCUGGUGGGAAGCAGCUCAGGUACCCUUGGGGGUUGCAGGGCCCUUACGCAGGUAUUUCUCUCUCUCUCCUCUCUGGGGUGCGUGUGUGCGUGCGCGUGUGCGUGCCUAUGCUUUUCUCUGUGGGCACAUCAGGAUGCCCCUCGGAGAGCAUGUGCACGUGUCCCCACCUGAGCGAGCGUGUGUGUGUGCUCCUCUGCGUCCCAGGUUUGGACGUCUAGAGUUUGGUGUGCCUGUCUUCUGCCCUCCCUGAGCCCACAGGGUCAGUCAAUGUAUCUUCUACGUGCCUCUCCCUCUGCCUUCUCUCACAGUGCCCCCGGCUCCAGAGCUCAGGGGUAGGGGUUCUCCUGAGGGUGCAGGGGAUCCUUCUCAUCUCCUGGACCCUCCAGGGCACUCUGGUCCCUAUUCCCCAGCUCCUAGGCAGCUGAGCCGGGUCCCUUAGGGGAGGUGACCAGGAGCUUUGGUGCAGGGAGCUCUUGGUGGGGCAAAGGGCUGGACCCCUGCCAGGUCUGUGGACAUGGUUAUAUGCCCGGGAGAGGGGGGUGCAGGGCCCCAGGGAUGGCCCCCAAUCCCACCUCUGUUUAUUCUGUAAACUACAACCUAUAAAUAACCUUUAGCAUUCCUAUUGUAACAAAAUUAAUUUUUAUGAAAUAAAUUAUAUUUCCUAGU
rnacentral:lncRNA from 1 species